UCCCAGAUACCUGAUGCUGCUCUCAUCC
rnacentral:piRNA from 1 species